GGUAGCCGAGGCCUGAGCAGCAUCCUUUCCUCCCCUUCAAACCUCCCCAUCCCUUUCCCAUGCUGGGACCCAUCCAGACCAGGAGUGUGUGAUCUCCAGCUGCAGCAUCCACAUGCAAGAGCAGGCAUGCAGCAGACAGACAGGCACCAGCUGGGGGAGCCAGGCCUAGGAGCAUAGCAGCUUGGCACACAUAGCUAUCUUUGAAACUACCAGAAUAUUUCAGCGACAAUUGGCUCGUCUUGUCCAGUACUCUGCCUCCAACAGUGACCAACACAACUGCUCCAAGACAAAGCCGAUAUCCAUAACACAUCUAGCAUUGGGCAGUGAGGACACCUUCCUGACACUGCAGAAGCGCCCUGAAGCAUGAGGGCUGUUUGACUUAUGCAAAAUUAUUGAUUUCGCAAUAGGCUUGUUUUUCUGGAAUCUGUUCGCACUUUUAUCGAAAAUUUACUCAUCCCCAAUUCGGGAGCAAGGUUUUCAGUAAAAAAAAAAAUAUUGUAUAAAUGUCAGAAACUCCACUAACAACAGUACUUUGGGCCUUGUUCUUACAAUGCAGAGGGAGUGUAAAAAGCGCCCCAUAGUCCCACACAAUCUUGCGGAAUAAACUACGUAAGCCCGGCUGACUUUUAAACCACCUUCAGACUUGAUGUCGGAUAGAGCCUCAUUCCCAUCCAGAUGACUGACUGGUCCCUAACACCUGCUGGUGGCAGGAGAAGAAGGCUGAGAGAGGAAAGAAUUCAUGUUACACUAUUUUCGCUGGAAAAAUAAACCCUUGUCACAGCUUGAAGCAAAAGCCUGCCUCAUGCCUUCAUGCUUCUGCGAGAUGGCUGCCGUCAUUCAAAAAUGAACAUAA